rnacentral:lncRNA from 1 species
CAUCUUAGCUUAGCUCUUGUCGAGAGGGUCCAGCUCGGCUGUGGUCUAAAGCAGCAAACUCCAAAUUUUCUUUCUUCCAUCUCCACUUCUUCAAUAAGGGCUCCUCUAACUCACGAAACAUACACCCUAUGCUAUACUUCCCGAGGAUUGGAAAGAAUUUGAAUCCAUGGCCUGAACCACCUGUGCAUACAAACAGAUUUUCAUAAUCUGGAUGAUAAUCAAAUACAAACUCGGCAUCGGCUGUGUCGGUAUAAUAACAAAUACGGGUUUUGUAAAAUGGCCUUUGACUAAUUUCUUCGCCAUAAGUACGUUGAAGGUUUCUGCGUAAAUCUAAUUCCGCUUCCUUGGGCAGGAUAGGAGAAACGAGAGGUUUCUUUGGUGGAACAGAUUCGACUUUUCCGGAUUUAAGAUUUUGCAUUCUCGUAAAUCCGUAUCCAUGGCGUGCAAAUUUUAGAUAACCAUCGGGGGUAGGGGGAAAAAUAUAAAAUCCAGUAUCAAAAUCUAAGUAUACAGGAUUUGUCAAAAAGCGGAUGUACUCCUCAGGAGUCAAUUUUAUGUAUGCGACUGGUUGACCGGUUGCCAAGAAUCGUGUGUGGUCAUUAGGUAAAAGAGAUGCAGUCCAUGCACCUGUAGCAAAAAUAAGUUUUUCGGCCAUGUAAGCUCCAGUAGUAGUCCUCACGCCUUUAACAACGUUUUCUUCUGUUAUAAGCUCUUCAACAGUUCCCUCAGGUCCGCUAAUGAAAGAAACACCGGCAUGUGCUAAGUAAUUAACUACGGAUUUCACAGACUGCUCAGCGUUGGCCCAUCCAGAACUAAAAUUGGCAUACCCAGCUUCUCCAUCAUUCAGCUCGCCAAUCCAUUUUGGAAAAAGUUUCCGCAAUUCUUCUGUAGUUUGAAACUUUGCUGCUGACACACCCAUUUUUGUCAGGUUUUCCAGACUCAUGUCCCGAUACUCAACAUUGUCACGGCCAACAAACAUAAGUCCUGAUCCAUAAAAUUGCUCUUUAAAAAGUGGAUUUGUGCGCCAUUCCUCUAAAGCAUCAAUACCCAUUGAACAAUACACUGCAUCCGCAUAGUCUGAACGAAUUAUACGAUUUGCAUCGACUGAAGACCCAUCGAUAACAGGCGGAGGUGCUCGAUCCAAGAUUUUGAUCGUAUAUCCACCACGUUUAGUCAACUCUAAAGCUGCAGAUAAUCCAAACACACCUGCACCAACAAUGAUUACGCUAGUAUUCUUUACCAUUCUUAAUCCCAAAAAUAUUACAGAUGCGGUUUAAAUUAAAUUUUAAAAGGUGGUUUAGCAGUCGGGCUUAAUAUAUAUUAUCAGUACUCAUUGCCAGCUACUAGUACUCCAAGAUAAGGUGCUGUCUAGCGAAGUCAGGCAUCGAUAUCGCAAAAUCACAGUCUGUUGAUACUUCUGAUGUUAGCAGUAGUUCUUUUGAUACAGAGUUAGUCACUUAGAAAGAAUGAAAAUAAAUCAACUAAGCGAGUCUGAUUUGAGCCGUGCAGAGGGAAUGUGCCAAUUUGCUAGCACAGGUCAUGCCGAGUUAUCAAAAUCAACUAUGGUCCAAAACAACCGGGUGUUUAUUUAAAAAUUAUAUUUUAGUCUUUAUUUAAAUGAACAAUAUCUUUUAUUUUCACUCUAUAGGAAAAAUACUCUUCGCACUUGUCUUGUUUACAUUUUAAUUCUCCGAAACUCCACUUCGUUAACUAGC